rnacentral:rRNA from 1 species
GAUGAACGCUGGCGGCGUGCCUAAUACAUGCAAGUCGAGCGAACGGACGAGAAGCUUGCUUUUCUGAUGUUAGCGGCGGGCGGGUGAGUAACACGUGGAUAACCUACCUAUAAGACUGGGAUAACUUCGGGAAACCGGAGCUAAUACCGGAUAAUAUUUUGAACCGCAUGGUUCAAAAGUGAAAGACGGUCUUGCUGUCACUUAUAGAUGGAUCCGCGCUGCAUUAGCGAGUUGGUAAGGUAACGGCUUACCAAGGCAACGAUGCAUAGCCGACCUGAGAGGGUGAUCGGCCACACUGGAACUGAGACACGGUCCAGACUCCUACGGGAGGCAGCAGUAGGGAAUCUUCCGCAAUGGGCGAAAGCCUGACGGAGCAACGCCGCGUGAGUGAUGAAGGUCUUCGGAUCGUAAAACUCUGUUAUUAGGGAAGAACAUAUGUGUAAGUAACUGUGCACAUCUUGACGGUACCUAAUCAGAAAGCCACGGCUAACUACGUG